AGACUUCAUUUGUUGAAUCAUCAAGAACCUGAAAUAUGAACCUCUCAGCUGGCCAUGAAAGCCCACAUACUGCUCCAAUGGAAAGCUUGUAUACCUGGAAGCAGAAAGUGAGUUGUUUUGGCCGAGCACUUUGACAAUCAAAAUAUGCCUACUCUUUCAAUAAAUAGCAUGAUUGACAUAAUUGAGCACAAUAUGACUCCUAGUUUCAACAGUGGAAUUAUCACUGGGAUUCGUAUUGAUUGCCACACAUAGUGCACUACUUGGAGCAUAUUCUGGAAGCUCACCAUCUGGCUCGUCAAAGAAUAGGUUUCUCAUUGUUUAGGGGUCGUACUUGGGAGUUGGAAAUGAUUAUUGAGCCUAAAGAGAAGGAUGCUUCGGGGCUCGAGGCAAUUGUAGAUGGGUAAGUGACUUGUUGAAGGCAGAUGAUCAAGUGGGUUUGAUUUGUGUUAGAGCUUACACCAUUUAAAUAGGAAGAAAAUGCAGGGGGCCAACAUCAGGACAAGCAUUUGGUUUAAGUGGAAGAAUGUAGUAUAUUGAGUGAACUCUUAAGAGGAGUUCUCUUCCUUUUAUGAGACACAUUCGUCAAGAAACCAACAAGGUUGUGACAUAGCUAAUUGAUAGCUGGACUUGUCUUUCACUGCCAACAUGAUGAUUUUUAGUGUGCAUAAUCUUCAUCAGAGUAUUAACUGUGUGUGUUCUAUUUAAUUUACGGACUGUGUUAUAUUGUGGGCAAGUAUUAGAUAAAUGCCAACAGAAUCAUCCAGUCGUUUUUAGUGACUAUAUUUAUGCUUAGAUACUGCCUAACAGUGUUCUCACAUGUUCCUCUCUGUUUUUAUCCGUGUUUUAUGUUCCUCUUGUGAUCAGGAGUAUAAUUAGUCACAUAAAACUUAGUUAAUUUGAUUCUUUGCAGAUUUGUCUCAAACAGAUUAACCACAAGCAAAAUUUAACAGACUUCCAUGCGUUAAUCUCCUGGCGCUCUAAAUGAUCCUGCUCAAAUUUACUUUAUUGGUCCAACCCCGACCAAUUGGGUAGUGCUUGAUCAUUGGUGCGUAGUUCCACUAUGUAAUGUGAAUCUAUAGAAGUAUUCUUAAGUUUGAAAUUUCCCAAGUUCAUGAAGUAGUACCAAUGUCUGAAAAGCUACAAACUGAUUCCUGCAUUUCCCGAGAUUUUGAAGUAGUACCUCAUAUUGAUGCAUUUAUGCAUUACUGCUAUUUAUCUUCAUUUUUUCCACCAAGGGAUAUAUAUAUAUAUUUUAUCUCCUAUA